GGGAUUAAUCAUGAUCCGGGUUGUGCUGCCCAACUGCUAGGUGAUUUGGGAAGUCAUUUAGCCUCCAUGGCCCUCGGUUUCUCCAACCUGUACUCUAGGAAGAGUAGUUUCCAGGAGCAUUAUGGAAAGGGGAUGGAGAGUGCCAUGCAUCGGACCUUGUGCCUCUCUGUUCACAGUGGUUCUAGAUGACUCGAAGCGGGUGGCCAAGCGUAAGCUGAUUGAGCAGAACCGGGAGCGGCGGCGGAAGGAGGAGAUGAUCCGAUCACUGCAGCAGCGACCAGAGCCCACUCCUGAAGAGUGGGAUCUGAUCCACAUUGCCACAGAGGCCCAUCGCAGCACCAAUGCCCAGGGCAGCCAUUGGAAACAGAGGCGGAAAUUCCUGCCCGAUGACAUUGGCCAGUCACCCAUUGUCUCCAUGCCGGACGGAGACAAGGUGGACCUGGAAGCCUUCAGCGAGUUUACUAAGAUCAUCACCCCGGCCAUCACCCGUGUGGUGGACUUUGCCAAAAAACUGCCCAUGUUCUCCGAGGUAAGUGGCAGAAGCGGGGAGAGAUGUAGUGCUGUGUUGGAGGGAAACCUGCUCCCCCGGUCACCCAGUACAGGCUCAUCUGAGGUUCUCUGGACAAGGAGCAAUUCCUGUAGGUCAGCAUACACUCAGCACACAGGCACACAUGCAGACACAUACACAGACACACCUAGCACACAGAUGCAUACACAGACACACAC
rnacentral:sRNA from 1 species